rnacentral:rRNA from 1 species
CAGCCGCCACGGUAAUACAGAGGGUGCGAGCGUUAAUCGGAUUUACUGGGCGUAAAGCGUGCGUAGGCGGCUAAUUGAGUCGGAUGUGAAAUCCCUGAGCUUAACUUAGGAAUUGCAUUCGAUACUGGGAAGCUAGAGUAUGGGAGAGGAUGGUAGAAUUCCAGGUGUAGCGGUGAAAUGCGUAGAGAUCUGGAGGAAUACCGAUGGCGAAGGCAGCCAUCUGGCCUAAUACUGACGCUGAGGUACGAAAGCAUGGGGAGCAAACAGGAUUAGAUACCCCAGUAGUCCCUGUCUCUUAUAC